AAUCAACGCUGGCGGCGUGCCUCAGACAUGCAAGUCGAACGAUUAAGACUCUCUUCGGAGAGUGUAUAAAGUGGCGCACGGGUGAGUAACACGUAAGUAAUCUACCUUUGAGUGGGGAAUAACGUUCGGAACGGACGCUAAUACCGCAUAAUGCAGCGGCACCUAAUGGUGACAGUUGUUAAAGGAGCAAUCCGCUUAAAGAGGAGCUUGCGGCAGAUUAGCUAGUUGGAAGGUAAUGGCUUACCAAGGCUACGAUCUGUAACCGGUCUAAGAGGACGGUCGGUCACACUGACACUGAAUAACGGGUCAGACUCCUACGGGAGGCAGCAGUCGGGAAUUUUGGGCAAUGGGCGAAAGCCUGACCCAGCAACGCCGCGUGAAGGAUGAAGUAUUUCGGUAUGUAAACUUCGAAAGAAUGGGAAGAAUCAAUGACGGUACCAUUUAUAAGGUCCGGCUAACUACGUGCCAGCAGCCGCAGU
rnacentral:rRNA from 1 species